rnacentral:rRNA from 1 species
AGAGGUGGCAAGCGUUGUUCGGAAUUACUGGGCGUAAAGGGCGCGUAGGCGGCCUUCUCAGUCGGACGUGAAAUCCCCAGGCUUAACUUGGGAACUGCGUCCGAUACUGGAUGGCUUGAGUGCGGGAGAGGGAUGUGGAAUUCCAGGUGUAGCGGUGAAAUGCGUAGAUAUCUGGAGGAACACCGGUGGCGAAGGCGGCAUCCUGGACCGACACUGACGCUGAGGCGCGAAAGCCAGGGGAGCAAACGGGAUUAGAUACCCCGGUAGUCCUGGCCCUAAACGAUGAGUGCUUGGUGUGGCGGGUAUCGAUCCCUGCCGUGCCGAAGCUAACGCAUUAAGCACUCCGCCUGGGGAGUACGGUCGCAAGGCUG